GAUGAACGCUGGCGGCGUGCCUAAUACAUGCAAGUCGAGCGAACGGACGAGAAGCUUGCUUCUCUGAUGUUAGCGGCGGACGGGUGAGUAACACGUGGAUAACCUACCUAUAAGACUGGGAUAACUUCGGGAAACCGGAGCUAAUACCGGAUAAUAUUUUGAACCGCAUGGUUCAAAAGUGAAAGACGGUCUUGCUGUCACUUAUAGAUGGAUCCGCGCUGCAUUAGCUAGUUGGUAAGGUAACGGCUUACCAAGGCAACGAUGCAUAGCCGACCUGAGAGGGUGAUCGGCCACACUGGAACUGAGACACGGGCCAGACUCCUACGGGAGGCAGCAGUAGGGAAUCUGCCGCAAGGGGCGAAAGCCUGACGGAGCAACGCCGCGUGAGUGAUGAAGGUCUUCGGAUCGUAAAACUCUGUUAUUAGGGAAGAACAUAUGUGUAAGUAACUGUGCACAUCUUGACGGUACCUAAUCAGAAAGCCACGGCUAACUACGUG
rnacentral:rRNA from 1 species